rnacentral:piRNA from 1 species
CAAAGAGCUACAAAAACAGCACUGGCAGC